rnacentral:rRNA from 1 species
AUUGAACGCUGGCGGCAGGCCUAACACAUGCAAGUCGAACGAGCGGCGGACGGGUGAGUAAUGUCUGGGAAACUGCCCGAUGGAGGGGGAUAACUAAUGGAAACGGUAGCUAAUACCGCACACUAUCCGAUUGUGUCAGAUGGUAUUAGCUAGUAGGUGGGGUAACGGCUCACCUAGGCGACGAUCCCCAGCUGGUCUGAGAGGAUGACCAGCCACACUGGAACUGAGACACGGUCCAGACUCCUACGGGAGGCAGCAGUGGGGAAUAUUGCACAGUGGGCGCAAGCCUGAUGCAGCCAUGCCGCGUGUAUGAAGAAGGCCUUCGGGUUGUAAAGUACUUUCAGCGAGGAGGCGUUACUCGCAGAAGAAGCACCGGCUAACUCCGUGCCAGCAGCCGCGGUAAUUC